rnacentral:rRNA from 1 species
CCUACGGGAGGCAGCAGUCGAGAAUCAUUCACAAUGGGGGAAACCCUGAUGGUGCGACGCCGCGUGGGGGAAUGAAGGUCUUCGGAUUGUAAACCCCUGUCAUGUGGGAGCAAAUUAAAAAGAUAGUACCACAAGAGGAAGAGACGGCUAACUCUGUGCCAGCAGCCGCGGUAAUACAGAGGCCUCAAGCGUUGUUCGGAAUCACUGGGCGUAAAGCGUGCGUAGGCUGUUUCGUAAGUCGUGUGUGAAAGGCGCGGGCUCAACCCGCGGACGGCACAUGAUACUGCGAGACUAGAGUAAGGGAGGGGGAACCGGAAUUCGCGGUGUAGCAGUGAAAUGCGUAGAUAUCGAGAGGAACACUCGUGGCGAAGGCGGGUUCCUGGACAUUAACUGACGCUGAGGCACGAAGGCCAGGGGAGCGAAAGGGAUUAGAUACCCGUGUAGUC